ACCCAUUCCCCCCUUAUCCCACCCCCUUCAAAACACAGAGGAACACAGAGGAAGACCAACAACAACAGCGAUAGAAAUUGCAAGAUCAUUAUAUGUACAAGUGUAAUGAGAAAUCAAUCAAUCAAAGAGAGAGCUUGACGCCUGAGCAAAUCGAAUCGAAUCUUAUCUUUCUUCUUCUUCGAUGGCUGUUUGUUUUCUGGGAAAAAAAGAAGUCUGUCCCUCAGUUGAAACUCUCACUUUCCCAGGAAUGGUUCCAGUGCCAAAGAAGGACUCUUCUUGCUUUGCUGCCUUAUCCAAUCAAUUCCUCAUUAUCCCAUUUUGCAUGCUGAAACUGGUGUGUAUAGUUUUCUCUUGACACUUGUGUUUUCUGGAUUUAUUUUGUUUCUGGGUUUUCUUUGUGGCUUGAAAUUAUGGUUAUUUGAGAUCUGAAAUUGUAGCCAUGCUGGGUGUACUUGAUUUGGUUGAAAGUAUAAAGUAUAAAGUUUGAUAUUUGUUGGGUAAUUGAUUUUCUAGACUUUAUAGAUGAAGAUUGAGAUGGGUUUAGGAGGUGGGGGUUGCGAUCUGGGUUUUGAGGGUGGUGGGAUAAGGAGGGGGAAUGGGCUGCAAGAUAGGGGGAGAGACCGAGCGAAAGAGAGAGGGAUUUUGUAAAUGACAAACUCAGGUUUAU
rnacentral:lncRNA from 1 species